CAUGAACUUUGAUGUUACCGUUAUACCUUCCAACACCCCUAUUCAUCUCUCAUUCCCCUCCCUCACUCAUCAUCCCCUUACACUCUAUCUCCGAUCAAUAAUACCAAAACUCCAGGGAAAAGAAGAAAUCUAGUUGUGCUCAGUCGAAGUUGUAAUUUUGAUCACUGUAACAGUGAUUGGCUAGUAAUCUCAGAAAUUAUGGAAUGUGUCUCCUGUAGUAAAUACAAGCCUUUAUGCGGAUAUAGAGCCAUUCCCAUUCGACACUGGUUUUCUAAAGGUUUCGGACAUUCACACAGUUCAUUAUGAACAGUCCGGAAGAGCAUCAUGGGAGCCAUUUAGAGAUCUUAUUCCUGAAAGUGAAAGAGGGUGUUUUGUUGAUGCCUACCACAAGAGGUUAAACUCCGAUGACAAUGAGACACAAGUAAGUCUUGACAUUCUCGUUUUGCUUUUUUUGUUGAUUGCUUGUUGUUACUGUCUUACUGAAUAUUUCCAGUAAGCUAUAGGUUUGCCAAAAAGCCUUUUUAAAAAACAUGUUCUACUUCUAGAAGGUGUUAAGAGACCCAAGUACCUUUCUGAAGUUUACUAUGCUAAUUGAUAAGUGAUUGAUCUUUUUCUUA